AUGGCCAGGAGAGCAGCCAGCGAGUUGCAAGGUUGUAAGAUGACAUGGGUCUUUGCUCAUCUUUGGGAUCUACAUUCUGAUGGAGAAGAGGAUUCAGAUCUCAAUACAAAAACCAAUAGCCAUUUCAAUCCCUACCCCUUUUUUCUCCAAGGUUUGCAUUUGAUAGAAAAUUAAAUUUAAAAUUUGGCCAGAAAU
rnacentral:lncRNA from 1 species